rnacentral:rRNA from 1 species
UGGCGGACGGGUGAGUAACGCGUGGGUAACCUGCCUUAUACAGGGGGAUAACAGUCAGAAAUGGCUGCUAAUACCGCAUAAGCGCACAGAGCUGCAUGGCUCAGUGUGAAAAACUCCGGUGGUAUAAGAUGGACCCGCGUUGGAUUAGCUAGUUGGUGGGGUAACGGCCCACCAAGGCGACGAUCAGUAGCCGACCUGAGAGGGUGACCGGCCACAUUGGGACUGAGACACGGCCCAAACUCCUACGGGAGGCAGCAUG